AGUGAAUAGAUACCCAGGUAGUCCUAGCCGUAAACGAUACUCGCUAGGCGUCGGCCACGGUGCGACCGUUGUCGGUGCCGUAGGGAAAGCCGUGAAGCGAGCCACCUGGGAAGUACGGCCGCAAGGCUGAAACUUAAAGGAAUUGGCGGGGGAGCACCACAACGGGUGGAGCUUGCGGUUUAAAUUGGAUUCAACGCCGGAAAUCUUACCGGGACCGACAGCAACAUGAAGGCCAGGCUGAAGACUUUACCGGAUUAGCUGAGAGGUGGUGCAUGGCCGUCGUCAGUUCGUACUGUGAAAGCAUCCUGUUAAGUCAGGCAACGAGCGAGACCCACGCCACAGUUGCCAGCGUACUCUCCGGAGUGACGGGUACACUGUGGGGGUCCGCCGCUGCUAAAGCGGAGGAAGGAAUGGGCAACGGUAGGUCAGUAUGCCCCGAAUAUCCCGGGCUACACGCGAGCUACAAUGGUUGGUACAAUGGGUAUCUACCCCG
rnacentral:rRNA from 1 species